CCCAGACAGCCAGGAUGUUGGCUUAGAAGCAGCCAUCAUUUAAAGAAAGCGUAAUAGCUCACUGGUCGAGUCGGCCUGCGCGGAAGAUGUAACGGGGCUAAACCAUGCACCGAAGCUGCGGCAGCGAACGUAUCACUUAAAGCGAUUCAGCGGGUUACGAUUGACGGAGCGAAGCGACGUCAAAGCGUAUACAAAGUCGAGUCGGUUUAAGGAUACGUUCGUUGGGUAGGGGAGCGUUCUGUAAGCCCGUGAAGGUGGCCUGUGAGGGUUGCUGGAGGUAUCAGAAGUGCGAAUGCUGACAUAAGUAACGAUAAAGCGGGUGAAAAGCCCGCUCGCCGGAAGACCAAGGGUUCCUGUCCAACGUUAAUCGGGGCAGGGUGAGUCGACCCCUAAGGCGAGGCCGAAAGGCGUAGUCGAUGGGAAACGGGUUAAUAUUCCCGUACUUGGUGUUACUGCGAAGGGGGGACGGAGAAGGCUAUGUUGGCCGGGCGACGGUUGUCCCGGUUUAAGCGUGUAGGUGUGUGUUCCAGGUAAAUCCGGUUCACUUUAACACUGAGGCGUGAUGACGAGGCACUACGGUGCUGAAGCAACAAAUGCCCUGCUUCCAGGAAAAGCCUCUAAGCAUCAGGUAACACGAAAUCGUACCCCAAACCGACACAGGUGGUCAGGUAGAGAAUACCAAGGCGCUUGAGAGAACUCGGGUGAAGGAACUAGGCAAAAUGGUGCCGUAACUUCGGGAGAAGGCACGCUGACACGUAGGUGA
rnacentral:rRNA from 2 species